rnacentral:tRNA from 1 species
GCGGGAGUGGUGUAACGGCAGCCACGCCAGACUUAGGAUCUGGUGCCUUCGGGCGUGCGGGUUCGACUCCCGCCUCCCGCACCC